rnacentral:rRNA from 1 species
UACGUAGGGUCCGAGCGUUGUCCGGAAUUAUUGGGCGUAAAGCGCUCGUAGGCGGCUUGUCACGUCGGGUGUGAAAGCCCGGGGCUUAACCCCGGGUCUGCAUUCGAUACGGGCAGGCUAGAGUGUGGUAGGGGAGAUCGGAAUUCCUGGUGUAGCGGUGAAAUGCGCAGAUAUCAGGAGGAACACCGGUGGCGAAGGCGGAUCUCUGGGCCAUUACUGACGCUGAGGAGCGAAAGCGUGGGGAGCGAACAGG